rnacentral:lncRNA from 1 species
UUCCACCUCAAAUUUCUCCUUACCUAGCUCAAGAGGGAGUGAGUCCUUUUAGGGCAAGGUUGCUGGGUUGGAGGGCUACAAAACCAUACCAAGCUUGCCCGGAUUGGUGGCCGGAGGAGGAAGUUCCGGCGAAGGGAAGCUCGGGGCAGCCCUUGCUUUCGGGCGGCACCGCUCUCUCACGGCGGCGCUAGGGCUCCUCUCACCGGUCUAGAAAUGAUGCUGGGAGGGAGACCGACCGAACGGGACCGGUCCGGCGGCGAACGGAGGUCGGACGGCGGCGGGAGGACGGCCGGAAUUCUGCUGGGUGUAGAGAGGGGAAAACCGGGUGUGAAGAGAAGAAAAAUCGGGAGGGAGGGAGAAGAGAAAGAAGAAGAAAUGGGUUGGGCUCGGCCCAGCCGACCCAACACCCCUUUUAACCCAUAAUUCCAAAAUUCAACACUCCGAAAAAUAAUACCCGAAUAAAAAUUACUGUUUACUAGCUAAAAUUUACUAUUUUUACCGUCGCCGUAUAAUCCCCAUACGAAUUAUCCUCCGCACAUAAUCGUCCCCGAAACCCCUCUAGGGACCAAUUAAACUAUUUACUCAAUGAUCGAGACGGUAAAAUUCUUAUUAUAAUCACGCUAGUAAAUAAGGUAAAAAUAUAAGGGUCGGGAUGUGACAAUUCUCCCCUCCUUAUAAAAAUUUCGUCCUCGAAAUUAAUAUACAUGUCAUCCGAAGAGAUACGGAUACUGCUGCAUCAUUUGCUCCUCUGAUUCCCAAGUAGCUUCUUCUACUUGAUGACUUCUCCACAACAUCUUGACAAGCGGGAUUGUCUUGUUCCUAAGCACUUGCUCCUUUCGGUCGAGAAUCUGAACCGGUUCCUCUUCAUAGGUCAAAUCUCUCGUCAAACUGAUCGGCUGCUCUUGCAGCACAUGAGAAGGAUCGGCAAUAUACUUGCGAAGCAUGGAUACAUGAAACACAUUAUGUAUCCGGGAUAACUCUGGAGGCAAGGCCAAUCGAUAAGCAAGUGAACCAACUCGCUCUAUAAUCUCAUAAGGGCCAAUAUACCUCGGACUAAGCUUCCCACGUUUAC